CCCGCUGAACUUAAGCAUAUCAAUAAGCGGAGGAAAAGAAACUAACAAGGAUUCCCCUAGUAACGGCGAGUGAAGCGGGAUGAGCUCAAAUUUAAAAUCUGGUAGUCUUUGGCUGCCCGAGUUGUAAUUUAGAGAAGCGUCUUCCGCGCUGGACCGUGCACAAGUCUCCUGGAAUGGAGCGUCACAGAGGGUGAGAACCCCGUCUUUGGCAUGGACACACCAGGGCUUUUGUGAUGCGCUCUCGAAGAGUCGAGUUGUUUGGGAAUGCAGCUCAAAAUGGGUGGUGAACUCCAUCUAAAGCUAAAUAUUGGCGAGAGACCGAUAGCGAACAAGUACCGUGAGGGAAAGAUGAAAAGCACUUUGGAAAGAGAGUGAAACAGUACGUGAAAUUGUUGAAAGGGAAACGCUUGAAGUCAGUCGCGUCGACCGAGACUCAGCCUCGCCUCGGCUUGGUGUACUUCUCGGCUGACGGGUCAGCAUCAAUUUCGCCUCUUGGAUAAUGGCGGGGGAAAUGUGACACCUUUACGGUGUGUUAUAGUCUCUCGUCGCAUGCAAGGGUCGGGAUUGAGGAACUCAGCACGCGCCUUCGGGUGUCGGGGCUUUUGCCCACGAUACGUGCUUAGGAUGUUGGCGUAAUGGCUUUAAACGACCCGUCUUGAAACACGG
rnacentral:rRNA from 1 species